rnacentral:rRNA from 1 species
GACGUAGGGCGCGAGCGUUGUCCGGAUUUAUUGGGCGUAAAGAGCUCGUAGGCGGCUUGUUACGUCGUUCGUGAAAACUUGGGGCUCAACCCCCAAGCUUGCGGUCGAUACGGGCAGGCUAGAGUUCGGUAGGGGGAGACUGGAAUUCCUGGUGUAGCGGUGAAAUGCGCAGAUAUCAGGAGGAACACCCGUGGCGAAGGCGGCUCUCUGGGACGGUACUGACGCUGAGACGCGAAAGCGUGGGGAGCGAACAGG